CCUACGGGAGGCAGCAGUGGGGAAUAUUGCACAAUGGGGGAAACCCUGACGCAGCGACGCCGCGUGAGUGAAGAAGUCCUUCGGUAUGUAAAGCUCUAUCAGUGGGGAAGAAAAUGACGGUAACUGAGUAAGAAGCCCCGGCUAACGUCGUGCCAGCAGCCGCGGUUAUACGGAGGGGGCAAGCGUUAUUCGGAUUUACUGGGUGUAAAGGGAGCGUAGGCGGCAGGGCAAGUCUGGAGUGAAAGGCAGGGGCUCAACCCCCGGACUGCUAUGGAAACUGUACGGCUGGAGUGCAGGAGAGGUAAGGGGAAUUCCUGGUGUAGCGGUGAAAUGCGUAGAUAUUAGGAGGAACAUCGGUGGCGAAAGCGGCUUACUGGGCUGUAACUGACGUUGAGGAACGAAAGCGUGGGGAGCAAACAGGAUUAGAUACCCGAGUAGUC
rnacentral:rRNA from 1 species